AGACAUGUGGCAAGGGUCGCCAGGUCGGGAAUCGAACCUGCGACGGCCACGUUGAGGACCAAGGCCUCCAUAUGUGGGCCUUGCCCAACCCCUGCGCCCCCACAGCCCACUGCUUUGAGGAUACUAAACCCCCCCCAGCACCAAACUUCUACACCCAUCGGUGACACGUCCCUCUGUGAGACCACAGCAGAUGUGAGGAAGACCCUUCAGGGAAUCAACCCCCGUAARGCCCCGACAACAUCCCAGGCGCGUCACAGGCAUGAAUGAGGCGCUGGCCUCAUUCAUGAGGCGCUGGCCUCAUUCAGGCCUUAAACAUCUGUGGUCAUGGAGUGCUUCGAGAGGCUAGUCAAUGCCCCCAUCAAAGACUCUAUCAAUGUCACUUUGGACCGUCAUCAGUACCCCUACAGGAAGAACUGCUCCACUGCUGACCAUCUCAUCAGUGGUCCACACAGCCCUCACCCACCUGGAGAGCAGAAAUUCUGUCAUUUGUCUGCUCUUUCUGGAUUUCUCCUCAGCCUUCAACACCUUCAUCCCACAGACCCUGGUGCAGAAGCUCUUCUCUCUUGGACUGAGUCCCACACUGGGGAACAGGAUACUGAACUGCCAUGACCAACAGACCUCAGACUGUCUGCUGGCCACAACACCGUCUCGUCCCCUAUCACUCUCAGCAUUAGCUCUCCGCAGGGCUGCAUCCUGAGCGCCCUUCUCUUCGAUCUGCUGACGUAUGGCUGCUUAGCAAGACACUCCAGCUGUUAUAUCAUGAAGUUUGCAGACGACACAGCAGUAGUGGGACACAUCACAAACAAUGAGUCCACAUACAGAGAGGAGAUGGAACGUCUGGUGCAGUGAUGCAGAGACAAUAACCUCUGCAUCAACUUGAAGACCAAUGGGAUGGACAAGGAUCCUCUUCAUCCCCUGUACUUUGGAGGAGCAGCUGCCGAGGUGGUCCUUUUAUGUAUGUGUUUGUGUAAAUAAAUACUUUUAAAUACAUAAAUAAAAUAUUUUUAUAUAAAUA